GGGGCUGACUGGUUUUGACAGCAUGACUGUUGAUUUGUAAGCAUGUCGGGUGUUGUGGAAGUGACCCGUAAACCCAAUCCACACAGCCAACAACUGGCAACGAUUACAAUUUCGCAAUGGCCGCUUAAUCUGGAAGAUUAGGCCGCUUGCUGCUUCCCGGGAAACUCUGCCUGACGGUGUCCCGAUCGAAGCAUCACAAAUGUCAGGAUAGUAAUUGCAAGGUCCUGGUGCAAUUAUGAAAUAACUAGGAAUACGUAUGAACUGGGCUCGCCUUUGGUCAUUUUCAUAUCGACAAUCAAUCAAAGGAUAAACAUGUAGAAAGCAUUUUAUCAGCUUGUUUGGACGAGGGUUCGAUUCCCUCCAGCUCCACCC
rnacentral:tmRNA from 1 species